UUAUCACUUACUUGACUGAAGGCUUGAAGACCGGUGAGAGGUAAACCAUCAGUCUGAGAGCACUCUGCAUACUGAAAAAGGACGUGCAAUGAUAUUGCAGGAGACAGAAGAUGCUGCCUUACCACUGAAUGGUGGUGAAACUUCCGGCUUCCCACUUGGCCUCCAUAGCAGGAAGCUAACCACCAUGACAUGCCAAAUACAAGCACAACAAAGUGUCUAUAAAAGAUUACCCGGGCCCUCCCUGGUGGCGCAGCGGGUUA